rnacentral:lncRNA from 1 species
UAAGCUGGACAAUUGGAUUUCAAAAAGGUUGAAAUCCAACAGCCCAAAAGUGGACAUGUGGCCCACGGUGAGAUUCUGACAUUUUUUAAAGUCUGGAAGCGUCAGCCGCAAAAAAGUAUCAGAUGUGGCUGACGCAUGAUGCCAGAUAAGCUAGUUCCUCACUCAGCCCAUUCUGGGGUGGACUUUGGGCCGGUCUAUUUUGUGGGAUGGAGUGAAUUUUUAGAGUGCCAGCCUAUUUUUUUAAGCUUUGGACCAGCCUCUUAGAGAGAGCUGGAGUUACUCUAAUCACUCAGUCUCAUUUGAGUCUGACUUGUUUUAAAAGUCUUCUAAUAAUAUUCUCAUCUAGAUAUUUAUAAUAGGUAAAUAUUCCCAAUCUUCUUAAUCUGGUGGGUCAACACUAAGUAGUGAUUGACAUUAGUGUUAGUUUUAUAUGAGAAACAAUAUGGAAGAUCUUGCAUGUAACAUCGUGAACACCACUAUCCUCGUCAUUUUUAUGUAUCUCUCGUUACUACAUCGGAUGCAUAGAGAUAGAAUAAUUAGGAAUAAAUGUUUUGUGUUUACAUCACUAGCUCGUCAUGUAAUUUGUAGAAAUAAGAAGAUAUAUUCAUUAACACGUACGAUUUUCUCACAAAUAGCGUGACACGUAAGUCUUUGCCUCAUAAAUGAGUAUCCGAUCAUAAAUGAGUUUCCAAUCAUAUACUCAUGCUGGCCAUAAUUGACAUUUUCUCAUAAUCACUUGUUUCAUAUAUAUUUCUAUCGAGAAAUGCUAAUGAGACUCUCAAAAGUGAAAUUCUCUAUAAACUCUUUGUCACUUUAUGUUUUUUGUAUAAUAUUUUAUAAUAUUAGCAUGGACAUUAACGUUAAACAAUAAAGUGAUGGAAAGUUCCACUUUGAGAGAAUGUUCUUAACAUUUCCCUUUUCUUUGUUACAAUGGCUUUGAUGUUCUAUUCUGGCUUGAGCAAUAAUCGUCGAGAGGCAAGCCUCGUGUCAUUGUUCUACUCCAGUAAAGUCAAUACCAUUUUUUAACCCAAUUGUUUCGUUGAAAAGCUUAUAAAUCUUCUUCAUCUUAGUCGCCUUUUUACUUUCUUUUGUUUAUGUUUUGGAGCCAACCUCAUUAAUUUAUUUACAAUUUACAGUAACAUUACAUGCCACACAAAUGAUUUAAAAGCCGACAAAUUUCAAAAAUGUUACUUGUAACAAAAGUUACCGCGUAGUUUAGUUUUUCUUGAGAGAGUACAAAAGUCUAACAGCUUCAAGCUUAAGCAACAUCUGCUACAAUUAUCCUUAAGACAGAGGUCAACCUUUUUAGUUUAAAAUAAAAUACGCUCUCAUUAGUCAUUAGCAUAAUGUUUGAACAAGAACUCAAAUACUUGUUUGAAACAAUGAAGCAUGCAUCGAUCGUGCAUCAUAAAUAAAUAGUUUUGGGCCUUCGUGAGGCCUAGAAAUGACGUUAUCAUUUUGGGUUCAUGUUUUAAAGGUUUCUGAAGAUUUAUAUCAGGAAAAAUAAAAUUUGUGAAGAAAAAUAUAGGAGCCCAUCUUAGGCAUAAAGGGCCGCCAUGCAUUGCAUGCAAAUUGAAACCCUAAAUGGACUAUACCUAACAUGAGGUUGAUAUUUAAUAAAGGGUCAUUUUGGUUCCCGUUCUUAAUCAAUUUAUUUGUUAGACUGAAAUUUUGUUUGUUUAAAUAUUUUGAUUAAAGUCCUUAACAUCAUUUAAGAGAUCUAACUCAUGCAUUUAUGCAUUUAAUGUCCCACAAUAAACAAAUUCAAAUAAUAUUUUUAAAAUAUAAUAAAUACUGAAAAUAAAUAUUGGAGUAAGAUUGUUCUUCACAAAAUUAUAGCAAGAAAAUAACAUACCCAUAUAAUUAUUAACAUAUUUUAAAAAAUAACUACUGAUAUAUCUUAAAACAUAAAAUAAAUACAUAUAAGGGUAAUUUUAUUUAGACCCAACAAUACGUUUUCUACACCCAGCUACAAAAAACUUUUUAUGUAAUUCCUAUAUUACCCCUUAUACAAAAUAAAAUAAGAAACUGAAAAUUAAAUAUCUUUCUACACCCAUUCAACCGAGAUAGAACCCACAUACAUCGCCACCACUUUAGACCUUCCUCCCUCUUCCUUCUCCUGCAUAUAGAAGUAGUUAGGCAGGAUUGCUAAAUCAACCAUCGCCUUCAACAACCCGACCCAAUACAAAAUCCACUUGACUCCAUUUUGGACUUCUGCAACAAGUCACUUACAGAAUCGACGAUGCCGCUUAGUUUUGCCUAUUAACAGCAAGGCCCUAUCACGCACAAUAGAAGAAAAAUGGAAAGAUUCAAUGGAUGUUUGGUGGAGUAGCCACCGCAAAGAAUUGGUGGGUGUGGGAGAGGUGGGGGAACACAUUGAGAAUAUCAGGGAAAAAAAACAGUCGAGAGGGAGACAAACCCAACAAAUAUAGGGAGGAGACACCAGAAGGCAAGAGAACAGUCGGGAAAUGGGUUUGAUGAGUUUUUCUUUUUCCAGUUUAUUUAUGUUUAUAAUUUAUGGGGGUAAACUAGAGAGUUUAGGUAACAAAAUAUUAAAGUUGGGUUUAAAGAGAGGAAAACUGGGUCCAAAUAAAAUUUCUAUACAUAUAAUUAGCAUGGGUACAUUUAGAAAAAUAAAAAAUGGGUACAAAUAAAUAAAAAAAUAUGGGUAUAAAUACGAAUAAAACUUUAAAAAUUAUGGGCACAAAAAGAAAUUAAUAUAUAGGUAUAAAUUAAAACUGAAAAGAAAAUCGGUACAACUUACAAAAGGGUAGCAAAUUAAAAAUUGGUACAAACUAAAAAUAAAAAUAUAUGAUAAAAAAUUUAGCUAUAAAUAUAAAUAUACCAAUUGUAACAGUUUUAACACUAAAUAAAUAUAUUUAGAAAUAAAAAAUAUUUUAUUAUUAAAAUAAUUAAUAAUGUUAUUAAUACUUAAAGAUCCUGAAAAAAAAUUUAAAAAAAAAUCAAUAAAAUAACAAAAUAAAGAAUAAAAAUCUAAUUUCUCUUUUAAUAAAUUUGUUCUUUAUUGUGCUUUUAUGCUUUGGACAAAAAAAGCUCCUGUACCUAAUUAAAGAAGCUAUAUGGUUGUCUUGUCGACCGACUCGACAGACAAUCUUGUAGUAAAUAUUUCAUGGCUCCACAAAUCAACACAUGCAUGCAAGCAGGCUACCCGACGAAAGCAAACUUCAGUUCACCACAGAACCAAAAUCAACAGCUCCAAAAGCUAAGAUAUGCAUGGUUCGACAAACAGUACCAUUGCAGAGGCAGUUCUGCUAAAAUGGAGUCACUUGAAAGUGCUUUUGGCUUAGUUUUCAGUAUGAGCUGCAUCAUGAUGAUCAAUCAAGUCAGGCCUCUCAACAUAUACCCACACAAUACUCAUAUCGUAUUUUGGCCAAUUUAGUCAAACCAUAAACUUUUUGUAUCGCCUCUACUAGAUAUAUAUAGCAUUCCCAGACUUAGAUACAUGUAUAUAUACUGUAUGGUAUCGUGUAUGCAGCAUAACAAUACACAUUAUUACAGUCAUGCAUACACAGUAGUAUCAGUUGGUAUAUUGAACAUGUGAUUGUGGAUGCAAAUUUCUUCCUCCUUGAUCUUGGACAAAAUUGCACCUACAAAAUAAAUAACACAUUUGGUUAUGGCCAAGAGCCUCACGCACCCACAAUGAAUGGGGGGCUUUGGCCGAAGAACCU